rnacentral:sRNA from 1 species
CGUCUCCUGUGGUGUGCGAUACGGGCUGGGUUACUCUUUGAGCCUAAAUCAAACCCCCGGAACUGGCCCAGUGAUGUCGGUGUGCAGGUCCGCCUUGCAGCGGAAAGCCUAAAGCAUCACGGUCGGCUCCACCUGAACCUUU